rnacentral:rRNA from 1 species
CACCGGCGGCCCGAGUGGUGGCCACUAAUAUUGGGUCUAAAGGGUCCGUAGCCGGCUUGGUCAGUCUUCCGGGAAAUCUGACGGCUUAACCGUUAGGCUUCCGGGGGAUACUACCAGGCUUGGGACCGGGAGAGGUAAGAGGUACUACGGGGGUAGGAGUGAAAUCUUGUAAUCCCCGUGGGACCACCAGUGGCGAAGGCGUCUUACCAGAACGGGUCCGACGGUGAGGGACGAAAGCUGGGGGCACGAACCGGAUUAGAUACCCGGGUAGUCCCAGCCGUAAACUAUGCUCGCUAGGUGUCAGGGACGGUGCGACCGUUUCUGGUGCCGCAGGGAAGCCGUGAAGCGAGCCACCUGGGAAGUACGGUCGCAAGGCUGAAACUUAAAGGAAUUGGCGGGGGAGCACUACAACGGGUGGAGCCUGCGGUUUAAUUGGACUCAACGCCGGAAAACUCACCGGGGGCGACAGCAAUAUGUAGGUCAAGCUAAAGACUUUACCAGAAUCGCU